rnacentral:sRNA from 1 species
UAGACUCAGAAAAAGAAAAGGAGCUUGAAAGGCAAGCCCGCAUUGAGGCAAGCCUUCGAGAACGAGAAAGGGAGGUUCAAAAGGCCCGUUCAGAACAAACGAAAGAAAUAGAUCGAGAGAGAGAGCAGCACAAACGAGAAGAAGCUAUCCAGAAUUUCAAAGCUCUUCUGUCUGACAUGGUACGUUCUUCAGAUGUGUCAUGGUCUGAUACUCGUAGGACCCUCCGAAAAGAUCACCGCUGGGAAUCUGGAUCCUUAUUGGAAAGAGAGGAGAAAGAGAAGCUUUUUAAUGAACACAUUGAAGCACUUACCAAAAAAAAGAGAGAGCACUUUAGGCAACUUCUGGAUGAAACUUCUGCAUCCAGUUACGCUUGGGCAUUACAAGAGAUCGCAGAUUACCUUAACAUCCACGUGGAAAGAAGUAAAAAAAAUCAUUAAGGAAGAUCCUCGGUGUAUUAAGUUCUCCUCCAGUGACAGGAAAAAACAAAGAGAAUUUGAAGAAUAUAUCAGAGACAAAUAUAUCACAGCCAAAGCUGACUUCAGGACGCUUUUGAAAGAGACCAAAUUUAUAACAUAUAG